UCUGGUGUCAGCCGCCGCGGUAAAACCAGCACCUCAAGUGGUCAGGAUGAUUAUUGGGCCUAAAGCAUCCGUAGCCUGCUUUGUCAGUUUUCGGUUAAAUCCAUACGCUCAACGUAUGGGCUGCCGGGAAUACUGCAAAGCUAGGGAGUGGGAGAGGUAGACGGUACUCGGUAGGAAGGGGUAAAAUCCUUUGAUCUAUUGAUGACCACCUGUGGCGAAGGCGGUCUACCAGAACACGUCCGACGGUGAGGGAUGAAAGCUGGGGGAGCAAACCGGAUUAGAUACCCGGGUAGUCCCAGCUGUAAACUAUGCAAACUCAGUGAUGCAUUGGCUUGAUGCCAAUGCAGUGCUGCAGGGAAGCCGUUAAGUUUGCCGCCUGGGAAGUACGUACGCAAGUAUGAAACUUAAAG
rnacentral:rRNA from 2 species